UACGUAGGUGGCAAGCGUUGUCCGGAUUUACUGGGCGUAAAGAGCGCGCAGGCGGUCGUCCAAGUCGCGUGUGAAAGCCCCCGGCUCAACUGGGGAGGGUCACGCGAUACUGGUCGACUUGAAGGCAGGAGAGGGUAGUGGAAUUCCCGGUGUAGUGGUGAAAUGCGUAGAUAUCUGGAGGAACACCGGUGGCGAAGGCGGCGUCCUGGACCAACACUGACACUGAUGAGCGAAAGCCAGGGGAGCAAACGGG
rnacentral:rRNA from 1 species